rnacentral:lncRNA from 1 species
ACUGUGAGCUUUCUCUCUUCCCUCCUCACAGUGGAAUUGCUCAUUCUCAUGAGAAUUUAUUAAUAAAUAACUUUUCUGCUUUCUACUGAGUGAUCUCUGAGUAGUCAUUUUGGGUAAGAGUCUUCUACAUCCCUCACAGUUGGGGGCUUGUCCGGGAUGGGGUCUUUGGGGGAGACAGCUAAGUGCACCCUGAACAGGGACAGGUGCCCACGGCGUAGUUUUCUCCAUGGUCUCUGUCUCUGGGUGAGCAGCCUCCCUCCCCUCUUAGACAAUGACCCAAGGCAGAGAUACUCAGUGGAACACAGAAUUGAAAACUGAAGGAAGUAGAGUCCUGAUGGCUGGCAGCAGUCUGAAAAGAAACACAUGUUCUCAAGUGGUUUUCAGGAAGGGGGAGAGAAGAAGAAGAAAAAAUAAAAACAGAUUAAAAGUUUGGAAAGUUUUGAGAAAAAAGAAGAACAGUGGCUAUCACUCCUGUAAACAAGGAGCCUGUUAUCACAAGCCAGAAAAAAAAAAUCAAGGUAAAGCAAAGAUUGAUCCGUAACUCUUUCCUGGCUUACUAAAGAAAUGAAGUUUGCAUGGAAUAUCUAGAUAGAUUUUAGGAAAUUUCACAAACUAAAGUACUAGUUAAUUUUAAAAUUGCUAUAUGUGUUAAGAUUGGAAACUUAAGAUUGGAAAUAGGAAACUGCAAAUAUUGGAAGGGAGGAAUAAAAAUAGAGUAAGAGCGCUAACUAGUUGAAUACGGGGACUCUCUGACCUAUUGGCUCUGUGGGAAAACUAGGCAUACUUCUAAAAAAUAAUUUUGUGUGUGUGUCCCAAAAGAAGACCAUUAAUAGCAAGUUUGCUCUCAUGGAAUUAGAACACAGAAAGUUUAAAAAGGCUAAACUGGAUUUUGGUCACAUUACAGCUAUAUUGACCUGCUUUUGGGACCUGGAUUGGCCCAUCUGAAGCUUAGAUUGACACCACAUCCACACCUCUGCAUGGAUUGAGAGCCUUUGCCCAUUUCUCAGCCCGAAGCAGCUAAGAUUGACCAUCAUCCAUGCUCCUGAUGUAAUUUGGACUGAUAUGGGGGAAGUGGGAAAGUGGUUGAUGAAUUAUUGUUAAAAUUACAACUGUAUUACUGUGUGUUUAAAAUUUGGAAAUUGUUAAAAUUGUGUGUUGGAAAUUGUUAAAAUUGAUUAAACUUAAACUUAACUUAUUAAAAUGGAUAAAACUGUUACUGUUAGGGAAGUUAUAUUAUGUUUAUAAUAUCUAUGUUUACUUCAGAAUAUGUAAUUGAGAGAUUUUUUUUUUUUGAGGAAACUCCUCCUGUACUAGUCUGUUAUGUAUAGGAACUUUAAGUCAUUCUUGGGAUUUAUAUGUGGAUGGUUAUUUGACGAUUUACUUUUUUUUUUGGGGGGGGGGAUGAUUCCUUUCCAUGAGAAAAAAAAAAAGAGAGGAAGAGAUAAAGGGAAACUGGUGGAUUUUUCUCAAAAUACCUAAAAGAGUGGGAACCUUUAGUUUUCUGUUCACUUUGCCUUAGGUACUUCUACCCCACCCCCUAUACCACCAGUUCAAAUUGAAUUGGAAGUCCUUAAGCAGUCCUUUUUGUUAUUCCUAUGCUUUAGCUUUGAAACCUCUUAUUCUGUGGAAUUGCUCUGGCAGACUCAGUUUUGGGGACUAUUUUGUUUUUAGGAAACCUCCAAGAUAUAGACACGUGUCUUGGGACUGGCAGUCUCCAGCCUUGUAAGCCCAAUUUCUUAAUUGGUAUCUUAGCAUUUUCAAUAACAUUGCAGUUUUGAGAUCAAGCCUCUAAAAAAUUUGGGGUUUGCCUGCCUUGUUGGUCUACCUGUGCAUGCUCUGAUAGCUCUGCUCAGAAAUCUACAUUCUAGUAGCAGCCCUGUGUGUUCCUCUGAGUGGGGACAGAUGAAGCUACUCCAAGCCUCACCCUUCUCCCCUGGAGUGGGUUGCCCCUCUGAAUGGGCAGCAUGACUGUCUUGAGCACUGCUACUCCCUAUAUAAGCAGAAGCUGAGUUAAGUGCACAGAUGACUGAAGACCACCUAACACAGUGAACCAUCCAUCUCAAACUUGAUUCUCUGGCUGAGAUGAGGGCCUUUGUACUGCUGAUAACUCUGGGCUUGUCAGGAAGAGAUUUGCCUUUAUCAUAAGUCCUUGCAUUUUCUAGUUUUGUUUUGAUAUAUUUGCUUCACAUUGGGUUGGGCAAAAUUAUAGUACUGAGACCUCCCAGAUAUCUAGGAGAGGUAAUUCAAUAAUUCAAAUAUUCAGGGGAGUGUAUAAUGUUGUCCCUCAGUUUCCCUAGGUUGUCAUCUUUGAUUUAUCUUUGUAUUUUUAUGUCUGACAAAUGCCAAUCUGUUCUGUGAUAACUAUUUCUAAGAUAGUGGGUUGAAGCAAUGUUUAUAGUAUAAACUUAUUGCAAUUGAUGGUAUUAGCCUGUUGCCACUAUGUCUACCCUGUAUAAUUAUUUAGUAAACAGAAUAGUUCAAUGGUCCCUAACAAAAUAUUGCAUACAGAAGAUUUUAUUAAAAUGAUGAUUCUUCAGAGAAAAGACUAGAAUGUAUCAGAGAGGGAUGAUAUUAAUGGGGAACUUGAUAAGCAACGUAUAGAUAUGAUAACUGAUUUUGAGUACUAUGUAAGUUCUUCAUAGAAAUAUGAUAAAAAUCAUUAACAUAUUAGAAGGGGGAAAGUUGUGUGGAAUGGAGAGAUAAAGUGAAGAACUUACAGGAAUAUUUAAAUUCUUUUUCUGUAUUUUUUAUUAUUUCUAUGUCUCUGUGACCUGCAUAAGUACAUUGUGUGCAAACCAAUAUUUACUUAACCAGAAUUGAUGACAUUUAUCCUUGCUCAAUGUUAUCAAUAUUUAGAUUAUUGAAUGCCGCCAGCUCAGUAAUCUGAAGUUUGAAGGUCGGACUGAUGAUUCCUCUCAGAAUCAGGGGAACAAACUAUUCCAUUCUAAUCUGCCUUUGGCACCAAUGUUUAACAUUCAAUUAGGGGAGAGGGCACCUAUUUCUCAAUGCUCCCCAACCUAUGAUGUAAUCCUUUGUAACCAAACCUAUUAAAAAUGUAUAUCUUUCCUAAAUCUUGAGCUCUUCUACUGCGAGCUUUCUCUUUCCCUCCUCACAGUGGAAUUGCUCAUUCUCAUGAGAAUUUAUUAAUAAAUAACUUUUCUGCUUUC